UACGUAGGGGGCAAGCGUUGUCCGGAAUUAUUGGGCGUAAAGCGCGCGCAGGCGGUUAAUUAAGUCUGGUGUUUAAGCCCGGGGCUCAACCCCGGUUCGCAUCGGAAACUGGUUAACUUGAGUGUAGGAGAGGAAAGUGGAAUUCCACGUGUAGCGGUGAAAUGCGUAGAGAUGUGGAGGAACACCAGUGGCGAAGGCGACUUUCUGGCCUAUAACUGACGCUGAGGCGCGAAAGCGUGGGGAGCAAACAGG
rnacentral:rRNA from 1 species